rnacentral:rRNA from 1 species
AAUCAACGCUGGCGGCGUGCCUCAGACAUGCAAGUCGAACGAUUAAAGUUCUCUUCGGAGAGUGUAUAGAGUGGCGCACGGGUGAGUAACACGUAAGUAAUCUACCUUCGAGUGGGGAAUAACGUCCGGAAACGGACGCUAAUACCGCAUAAUGCAGCGGCAUCGCAAGAUGACAGUUGUUAAAGAUUUAUCGCUUGAAGAGGAGCUUGCGGCAGAUUAGCUAGUUGGUAAGGUAAUGGCUUACCAAGGCUACGAUCUGUAACCGGUCUAAGAGGACGGUCGGUCACACUAACACUGAAUAACGGGUCAGACUCCUACGGGAGGCAGCAGUCGGGAAUUUUGGGCAAUGGGCGAAAGCCUGACCCAGCAACGCCGCGUGAAGGAUGAAGUAUUUCGGUAUGUAAACUUCGAAAGAAUAGGAAGAAUAAAUGACGGUACUAUUUAUAAGGUCCGGCUAACUACGUGCCAGCAGCCGCGGUAA